GAGUUCGAUCCUGGCUCAGGAUGAACGCUAGCGGCAGGCUUAAUACAUGCAAGUCGUGGGGCAGCAGGGGUAGCAAUACCCGCUGGCGACCGGCAAACGGGUGAGGAACAUGUACGCAACCUUCCUUUAACUGGAGAAUAGCCCCUCGAAAGAGGGAUUAAUACUCCGUAACAUAAUGAAGUGGCAUCACUUUAUUAUUAUAGCUCCGGCGGUUAAAGAUGGGCGUGCACCUGAUUAGAUAGUUGGCGGGGUAAUGGCCCACCAAGUCUGCGAUCAGUAACUGGUGUGAGAGCACGACCAGUCACACGGGCACUGAGACACGGGUCCGACUCCUACGGGAGGCAGCAGUAAGGAAUAUUGGUCAAUGGACGCAAGUCUGAACCAGCCAUGCCGCGUGGAGGAUUAAGGCCCUCUGGGUUGUAAACUCCUUUUAUCUGGGAAGAAA
rnacentral:rRNA from 1 species